CGCUGGAGCGAGGGACGGGCCCCCGGCCGCAGCCCGCCGCCCCCCCGGCGCUCGGGAAAGGGCCGCGGCGGCAACAGGACGGGCAGGUUCAUAAAUCUCAGCCCUGGCAAGGCCGGCGGGAGCGCGCGCGGCUCUCCGGGGAGGCACGGCCCGCCACCCCCAACGUCCUCGGCCGCUGCGGCCGCCCUUCCCGGGCUCCAAAGUCCCCGGCAGCUUCGCUUCCCACCUCCCGGCCGCGGGAAUCGUCAUCCCGGCUCUCCGCAGACCCUGCUCCCCGGCAGCCGCUCGCGGCGAGAGGCCUCGGGACCAAAGGGCAGAGCCGGGCGCGGACCCGCCGGGGCUCCCCGCACGGAAAGGCACCGCGCUCCCCCCGCGAAGCCGGUCCCGAUGCUCCUCAACGCGAAUGAGGUGACACGGCUCCUGCAGGGUCGAGGCGCGAAACGACCCUCCCCAAACCCGCGCAGCCCCCGUGUCCUCGCGUGAGCGGGCGCCGGCUUGGGGAGCAAAAACGGGCAAAAAUGAGUGUCCUCGGCGCGCUUUCGCAUCCCCCGAGCCCAAGCAGGCACAGCCGGGCGAGCGGGGACGGGCCAGCGCGCUUCGGGCUGCUUGGGAUCGCUGGAUCUGUGCUUUACUAGACGGAGACGCCGGAGCAAAAGGAAGUGCUUCAGCAGCAAAAACCUCCGCGUGGAACCUGAACCUGGUCACAGUCAUGCCCUCGAAUAAUGAGAUAUUCUCGUGCUCUGCUGGAAUAACCGCCCAACGGCUUUUCCAAUCCAUUAGUUAUUCCGGAUCCUUCAACUUGUCACGGGGAAAARCCCAACAGCAGCAACCACGGACAACCCCAGCGGUGCUCGCGGCCCCGGAACCGGGCGUUUUGCCCCCGGAGCGCGGGGGGCUCCCACCCCGCGUCGCCCGAGGACUCCCGCACCCGCUCACCCUCUUUGUCAGCCUUGAAAACAGGUAAAUACACUCAACAUCCUCGGAGAAAUAUGCCAAGAAUUUAUACACAUGGAUUAUAAAACAGGCCCUCUACAUAAAUGAUCUAUCUAAUCUGCAUCUCUCUGUACACACAGGAAGGAUUAGGGCCGUAGGUGUGCUGCGCUCAGCGCUCCGCGCGCUCGCCCCUCACCCCGCGCCAGCCCCGGCUCCGGGGCGCGACGGCGGGUCCCGUCUCC
rnacentral:lncRNA from 1 species